rnacentral:tRNA from 3 species
GCCGGAGUGGCGGAAUUGGCAUACGCGGCGGAUUCAAAAUCCGCUGACCUUCGGGUCUUGUGGGUUCGAGUCCCACCUCCGGUACCA